rnacentral:lncRNA from 1 species
ACAUUCUUUUCCUGUAAAAUUAAGCAAUUUCUGUUCGCAAUUAUUUAUUCGCAUGCUCAAAUAUCUAAUUCAGCACAUCUUUUCUGAUUCGGAUGCAUAGAUAUUUUAAUUAAUUCUGUGUAUCUUUCUUAUCUACUCUAGAAGCUGGUUAUAUUUCAUAGAUGAGAAGUGUUGUCAAAUGUUUAAAAUGAAAUAUCAUAUUCGACCUUCAAACCAUUUUUUAAACAUAAAAUAAAUCACUUCGUAAAUGAAAUAUAUUAUUCUAUCAAAUUAUAAAUGCUGAGCUCUCUCAAGAAGUAAACUUCAAACUCCUAGCCUUCAAUCGUACAGAAAUAGUGAUCGAAUAAAUUAUUCUCAGAUAGCUUAUUCCGACAUUCAU